UCUCCGUUGGUGAACCAGCGGAGGGAUCAUUAUCGAGUUUAUAACUCCCAAACCCUAUGUGAACUUACCACUUGUUGCUUCGGCGCGCGCUUCGGCGCCGCCGAGGACACUUAAACUCUUUGUUUUUAUAAGCAUUUCUGAGUGGCCGAAAGGCAAAAUACAAAUGAAUCAAAACUUUCAACAACGGAUCUCUUGGUUCUGGCAUCGAUGAAGAACGCAAC
rnacentral:misc_RNA from 1 species